CGGCAUGCCUAAUACAUGCAAGUCGAGCGAACAGAUGAAGUGCUUGCACUUCUGACGUUAGCGGCGAACGGGUGAGUGACACGUAAGGAAUCUACCUAUAAGCGGGGAUAACAUUCGGAAACGGUGCUAAUACCGCAUAAUAUCUUCUUCCGCAUGGAAGAAGAUUGAAAGACGGCUCUGCUGUCACUUAUAGAUGACCUUGCGGUGCAUUAGUUAGUUGGCGGGGUAACGGCCUACCAAGACGAUGAUGCAUAGCCGACCUGAGAGGGUGAUCGGCCACAUUGGGACUGAGACACGGCCCAAACUCCUACGGGAGGCAGCAGUAGGGAAUCUUCCGCAAUGGGCGAAAGCCUGACGGAGCAAUGCCGCGUGAGUGAAGAAGGCCUUCGGGUCGUAAAACUCUGUUAUAAGAGAAGAACAAAUUGUAGAGUAACUGCUACAGUCUUGACGGUAUCUUAUCAGAAAGCCACGGCUAACUACGUG
rnacentral:rRNA from 1 species